rnacentral:rRNA from 1 species
GUCUGUUGAGAAAGCCUUCUGCUUAACCGGAGUAGUGCAUUGGAAACUGUUGAACUGGAGUACAGGAGAGGUAAGCGGAAUUCCUAGUGUAGCGGUGAAAUGCGUAGAUAUUAGGAGGAACACCAGUGGCGAAGGCGGCUUACUGGACUGUAACUGACGUUGAGGCUCGAAAGCGUGGGGAGCAAA